UACGGAGGGUGCAAGCGUUAUCCGGAUUCACUGGGUUUAAAGGGUGCGUAGGCGGGCAGGUAAGUCCGUGGUGAAAUCUCUGAGCUUAACUCAGAAACUGCCAUGGAUACUAUUUGUCUUGAAUAUUGUGGAGGUAAGCGGAAUAUGUCAUGUAGCGGUGAAAUGCUUAGAUAUACAUAGAACACCAAUUGCGAAAGGCAGCUUACUACACAGUUAUUGACGCUGAGGCACGAAAGCGUGGGGAUCAAACAGG
rnacentral:rRNA from 1 species